GCCGGAAUAGCUCAGUUGGGAGAGCGUCAGACUGAAGGUCUGAAGGUCCCUGGUUUAAUCCCGGGUUCCUGCA
rnacentral:tRNA from 1 species